rnacentral:lncRNA from 1 species
UGCAACGUGCUGGAAGAUUGUAUAAUGUCGGUUGAGUGCUCCAUCUCUUCUUGAGUGACUUAACUUUGCUGCGGUUGUAUCAGUGGUAAAUUGGUAAUUACAUGUAUUGUUAUUUGGCCAAGCAAACUAAAGAAUUCAUUGAAAACAUGAAUGCAAGGGAUAAGCUAAUUAAAGUAUUAGUGAGAGAAAACGUACAUUAGCUACAUAAUUUUUCUCAAUACAAUUAUUUAGGAGCAUAUAUAUAAAUGUUUAAAUUCAAGUAAAAAUCAAGUUGUUAAUUCUUAUUGAUCGGUUAUGUUCGAAAAUAUGGUUGAUGAUUAUUUUUUAAAAUGUUUUUUACUUGAAAAAUAAUGUUUUUUUAUUUAAAAAAAAAUUAUUUUUGAUAUCAUUAUAUUAAAAUUAUCUUAAAAUACUAACAAAAAAUAUUAAUUUAAAAAAAUUAAUUGUUUUCAAAAAUAUUUUUAAAUAAUAAAAUAACAGGUCAAAUUCCAAUUAAGGCAUUCUUUUAUAACCAGGUCCAACAAUAACUAAGGGUUUGUGUAUUGUAUUUACAAAUAAAAUAAUGUUUUAUGACUUUUAAUAUAUUUUCUAACAGUAUUAUAUAAAUUAAUAAAUUAUAUACAUAAAUAUAUCAAGUUAAUAUAAAUUUUAUUAGCGCAAACAACUGAUGCAAGUUUGUUAAGAAUUUGAAUAGACAAGUAUUGUGCGUGUACAGUGAUGAGUUAAUUAAAAUCCAAAGUGCACAGUGUUAAGUGAUUGAAAUUGUAAGACCGGGGAAGAGAAGAGACUUACCUGGUAGUUCUGGAGAUGAGGACGUGAUGGAGGACUGGUCGACUAGUUAUUGUCUUCCUCUGCUUUCACCUCUGUUUAUAAAGAGUUGUUAUAAACUGUGAAUGUUAUUGACUGCAUCGCGAAUUACGGUAGAAAUGUUUUUCUCGUGUUUUGGGUUUGAUAAUUGCUAAAAGCACUCUAGUUAGGGAGACAUAAAGAUUGGGGCUAGUCUUGCCACCGAAAGUUGUAAAGAAUACAGCUGGCGGAGUUGUCUUUUUAUAUAGAUAGAAAAUGACCAGUUUGAAUUUUGGUGAAGUAGGACGACCAGGCUGCAGAUAUCUACUGCUCGGCACGAUCCAGAUAAGAAACAGCUGGCGUAAGGGCCAGUCAGCAAGCUCAUUAGUACCGGACUACUAACACUUUUCGUGAACGGCGGAGCUAAACUGUUACUAAUCCUGGUUGUAAAGCUAAGUUAGAGCUUGAAAAUUCUUACUUGAUCGUGAUGGUUUUGCACUCUUGUGAUUUUUUAUUUAAAUUUCUUUUUAAAAUCUAAGCUAAAACCCGAUGUUGCUGAGAAGAGAUAAUAAAAAUCCCAUGGUGCUUCUCUAGUAUUAAUAAAGAUAAAAUAGUGGAUCUUAAUAAAUGAUAGAAGAAAAAAAUAUUUUUAAAGAGUAGGUUUUACAAAAAAAACAAAAGGGAAAAUCUUUAUUUCUUACUUUAGUAGAUAUAUUUGUAGGAGACAGCGCCCUCUCCUGGGGUUCGGGGCGGAGCCCCGUUUUUUUUUUUUUUUAUAGAGCUCCAAAUAAAAUUUAGUUAAAAUAAUAAAAACACAACUAAAAUUAACCUUGCAAAAAUAUAUAGGACUUAACGACAGUAUGAUUCUCACAGAAAAGGAACAAACAAAUAAAAGCUCUUAGCAUUAGUUGCACUUGCAAUCUUAAACCAAAGAUCAGCACACUCCUUUCCAAUUGGACCGGUAAUUGCUGAGCCUUCAUUUUUCCUUUGGGGUUCACAAUGACACUAGUAUUAUCUUCAAAAUACAUGAAAUAUCAAGUAGGGGGGUUUAACUAAUUCAACUAAUAUAUAAAUAUCAAGUAGGGGGGGUUUAACUACACAUAUAAAAAAUAAUAUUUUCAAUCUUUUCCUUUUUCAUUCUAUAUUUGUCUUGACUUUUGACAUGUGAACACUGAACACUUUAUCGAGGGAUAAAAGUAUUUCUUUUGUAUAAAAGGGAUGUGCAUUUUUUCCACAUGCUUUUGCAUAAAGGGACCUGCUUUUCUUUUAUCUACUUGGUUUCAUGUAUUUUCCGGGCUAUUUUGGUUUUUUUACGAGUUGGUGGAAAUCUUGUUGGCUAGUAUCAUUAUUUUACACUUGGACAUGGCUGGAAUUCUUGCCAUUUAGACUAAUCAAUUUAUCAUUCAUCUUUUUCACUUUGUUGUUGUUGAUAUCAGCUUGCUCUUCACAAGAAACAAAAUUGGAUUAUUGGUUUUUUUUUAAUUUUUUUCCUUAAUUAACCGAAUCCAAAUAAGUUGCCUUGAACUGGCGGUUUGGUUUUAUUUUUAAAUUAAAAAUAAAUAAAAAUUCAGUUUGGUUGGUUUUUUAAGUAAAAAUUAAACUGAAAAUGCUCACCUCUACAUGUAGUUCUGGAGAUGAAUAUGUGAUGGAGGACUGGUCGACUAGUUACUUGCUUCCUCUGCUCUCACCUGUGUUCUUGCUUUUCUCUGAUCGGUUUCUUCCUGUCCGUCCCGUGUUCUGCGUGUGUUUCGUUCUCCUGUGGCCUUCUGUUUUUGCUCGUCUUCUCUGUAUUAUCUCUGUUCUUGCGUCUGUGUUUUUGUUUGUGGUCUUUGGUCCAGUGUUCUCUGUGUAUUAUCUGCGUCUCCUCUCUGUCCGGUCGUCUUUGUUUUUCCUGGGUUUUUUUCGUUCGUUCGUCCUCUUCGUCCUUCCCCUUCCUCCUGGAGGCCUUUCUUCCUCUGGCUUUAUAGCCAGAGAAUGCCAUACGUUUCAGUAACGUAUUGCAUCGUGGGCAGCUGAGGCGUUGAGGCGUUGAGGAAGAUGAACAGCUCGUCUGGAAACGGCGCCGUUGAUUUUCUGUCGGUUUGGUCACUGAAGUGUGGAGAUUUCACAAUCAAGCCCCUUAAUCAGGAAAUUCCUUCCACUUGUUUUUUAAUUUCGCCCCCUGGAUAAAUUGUAAUUAAACCUCUGGAUUUUAGCAUCUUUUACUAAACAGUCCUUAGUUUCUGAAUGUUUCAAUUCAGUCCUUAAUUAAUUUUUCAACUUUUAAUUAUUUCAAAAUUAUCCCUGGAAAAAUCAAUUAAGCUCCCUAGAGUAACCCCUGCAUUUUCACUUUGAUCCUUGGACUUUAAUUCCUUACAAUUUGAACCCAAAUCAGCCCCCAAACUUUGGUAUUUUUUCAAUUUAGUAUUCACUCUUUUAAUAGUUUUAUUUUUUGAGUUUUUUUUGUUAAAUUGAAUUUUGUUUUCAAUUUUACCUUUCAAUAAAAAAAUAUUUUUUAUUUUAAUUUAAUUUUCAUGUUUUCAAUUGCUAUUUUUUUUUUAACUUUUAACAUUUUAUUGGUGGGGAAUUAUACUAUUUGUUUUUUAUUCAAUCUCAUGCUUUUAUAUUCAAUGAGUCGAGAAUUGAGUCACAUCAUUUAUUUAUUUUUAAAAUAAAAAUUUUUUCAAGUUAUUAUAAUUUUUUUUUAAUUUGUUUUAUAUGCUUAAGCUCAUUAUUUAUUUAUUUUUUCUCUGGUUUCAAUCUUCCAUAUUAGGUUUGCUCGGAACCAAGCUCUUAUACCUUUUUUUUUCCUUUUUUUGUUGAUGUUUAUUAUAAGUUAUCAUUUAAACUUUUUUUUAUUUGAUUCAAUCUAUAAUCUAUUUACCGUUGUUUUUUUUUAUCAUUUAAUUAAAUGUUAUCAGCUUAUCUGACUUUGUCACAAAGAUUUUUAACUUUUUUAGAGCACAAUUGCAAUAUUUGAACAAUUUUAUUAGCUAAUAUUUUUUUUUUCAUUUAACUUGUUGCAUAGCGUUGGGCUAUGGAUUUAGUAAUCACUACCACUUGUUUAAUUAGGAUCAGUGAAAGCUAAUUUUUAGUCAUCACUUCUUGUUUCUUUUUUUAUUGUUUAAUAAAAGUAGUUCAUUCCUUGAAUUAUAACGAAACUAUUUUAUAAUUAUGCAAAAAAAUUUUUUUCCUUUUUCUUGUUAUAUCGUAAUUACGAUAUUUAAUCUAUUUUUGUGUAACAUUGUUAAGCCAUUAUUUGUUAAUUAUUUUUUUUAACUUCAACCAUUAUUGUUUUUUCCCCUAGCAUUUUAGAAAACACCCUAGAGAUCGGAAAAACAAAAAGAGUAUGUUAUAUUAACAGCUCCAUGCCCGUGUAAUGCUUGUGCUAGCAGAUAGGUGGCGCUAGCUCCAUUUGGGUGGUAUUUUUUAGCGACCUAACACUAGUUUUUAUUGUGUCAUUAGAAGUACUGCAGUAUACUUUUUUUUUAAGGACGACACGUGGUAUUAUUGAGGUAGCGGUGGGAUGUUGAUUUACUUUUUUUCUCAUCCUAGUUUACUUUUUUUUUUUUUUGAAAAUCAUGUUGAUCAUGUGAAAUUUCAAAGUUAUUUUCUAAUUCAUUGAGAUGUCAAAUUUAUUAUUUAUUUUUGAUCUUGGUCAUUUUGUGAAAUUUUGAGUUAUUUUUAAUUUUAUCCUUCAAUCUUAAUUUGUUAUAUAUUAUAUUUUUUUAAUUUAAUCGUCAUUCUUUUGAUAGUUUUAUUUUUUGAAUUCUUUUAUUAAAUUGAAUUUUCUUUUCAAUUUUACCCUUCAAUCAAAAAUAAAAUUUAUUUUUAAUUUUAAUUUUGAUUCUCAUUUCUUCAAUUAUUAUUAUUUUUUAUCUUUCUGUAUAAUUGAUUUUUCUUUUUUUCUUUUUUAAAUUUUAACAUUUUAAUUAGUUGAGAAUUAUAUUAUUUUUUUAUUUUAUAUUUAAUGGGUUGGGAAUUGAUUCACAUCAUUUAUCGUCUUUUGAAAUAAUAUUUUUUUCAAGUUAUCAUGAUCAUUUUUUCUUAAUUUGUUCUAUAUACUCUAGCUCAUUGUUUAUUUUUAUUAUUAUUUAAUUAAAAUAAAACAAAUCUAUUUAUAGUCUAGUCUAUAACUGGUCUAUCAUUCAUUUUUCUCUAUGCUUUAGAACAUUAUGUUUUAUAUGAAAGAAAAGGAAUCCAACCCCGCAUCAUAGCUCAGGUCCACGACUAGUACAUACUAUAUUUAUCAAAAACGCACGCGAUUAGUUGUUGUCAAACUAUUUAGUGCUAAGAAUUCGAAAGUCAAGUACCCUGCAACAUGGAAGAACUCUGAAGAGACACACCAGUGACAUGUAUGUUCUGCUCUAUAUAUAACCAAAGUCGUUACAAGAGAGAAGAGAAAGAGCUUAAUAUCUAUUUGUUACAAGAGAUACAAAUUAGAAAAGAAGACAAAAUACUGAUUUUGCAUUUGAAACUAUCAAUCUAAAGGAAAAAAAAUAUUGGAUAAGAACAAAACAGACUUGGGAUGUGAUGAUGACUAUGAAAGAUCUAGUGUCUUCUUGCCGCGUCAUUGCCAGGAUGAAUGUAAAUGCUAAACCCAUGCAGAGAAGGGAGUAAAAAUUAAGAGAUGUCGCCUUCUCCAUGCUUGAUGUUACAUCACUGGCACGACCUAAUGAUAUCUGACAAAGGAUUAUAGCGGCGAUGAGGGAGCAAUUCAUAGCUAGCAUGUCAAAACAAAUAUAUAAACUCAUCAUAUUUUUUGACCAAUCACUGCUAAGAUCAGAACCUGAUCCAGGCACAGUGAUAGCACCAGCGAAGGUUACUCCAGCUACCAGUACUGCCACCACGAGAAGAUUCCCUACCCCUCUGUUCAGUUCCUCCGUCGUUAACGUCGUUCUUGGUAAAUCACACUCAGUCUUAUCAUCUGCCUCCACCAAAACUUUAAAUACCUUACGCUGAACAACAAAGUGUUAAUUAGAAAAUAUAUGGAUUUAAUUGGAGAAUUGAUAAGUUUUGAGACUUAAUUAAACUUGUAAUUAAUUUAAUUAAUCCAAUAAGGGGCUUAAUUGGAAAAGCGAUAAGUGUUAGACUUAAUUGGACUUUGGAUUUAAUGAAAUUAGGGACGUAAUUGAAGAAAUAGCAAAGUUUGGGGUUAAUUGGGGGCACGAUUGAAACAGAGUAAAGUCCAAGAACUAACUGGUAAAAGGCGCCGAAAUGUCUGGGAAAUUACAGUUUAAACCAGGGGUUUAAUUACAAGACUCGAAACUGCACAGGUCAAAAUGUAAAAUGGCCACAUUUCACAUCUCAAGACGGCGCCGUUUUAAGAGACACUGUUCGUCUUCUUCAAAACUAGAAACGAACACUGCACGAUCCUUAGUCCCUCAUUAUUUCUGCAAACGGUCGGUCACCUCAUUAUUUAGGGGUGACCGCAUGGCAUUCUCUGGCUAUAUAAAAGCUAGAGAUAGGUCAUGCACGGGGGGGGGGUGAAACAAAAAAAGACGGGACGAAGAGAGACAGAACCAGGGGAAAAUUUUGGCCCCUCAACCAGUAGCAAAUCCUCGUGCUUUUACCACUAUUGUCUUCGUCUUGAACGCAGAAGACUGGGCAGAGACACAAAAAAGGAAGAGAAACUGAGGAGAACAGGAAAAGGACAGGGAAACGAACAAGAUAGAGGAGAGCAAAUUUUCUGCCCCUGUUUCUUCUCAAAGGAACAGAGGCUGUCCUCUGGCUUUAUAAAAGCCAGAGAAGGCCACGGAGGAAAAAGGGGAUCACUGCCUUCUCCAUCUCCAACACUAGAGAUGGAAGACGGAGAGAAAAACAAAGAGACGAUAAAGGGAGAGGACGAACAAAAAAACACAGGGAGGAACAGAGACCGGAGAGGAAAAACAAAGAAAUCACAGAAGGGAGAUUAAAGAGAAAACAGAGGUAAAUAACGAACAAACACUAAGGGGCUGACUGAAGCAAGCUUCAACGGGGAGAGGAAUGAAAAAACAAUGAGGGGCUGACUGAAGAAAGCCUCAACAGGAGAUUGAACACGAAGAAAAGUCAGGGGAAGGAGAGUACUAGACAGAGAAAUAAAAAACAGAUACAGAGAGAGAGAGAGAGGGAGAGAAUCCUGAGAGCAGAAGAAAGCAAGAGAAAAAGCAAAAGAAGGGAAAUAAAUUUUUUAUAUGUUUUCUUUUAUUCUAUAGGUUUUGACAAUUUAAAAAAUCUUUUUAAAUGAGUAUUGAUUGUUCCUAUAUUUGCAAUUAGUAGAAGCUUGAUGCUUGAUUCUUCUUUAUCUCUCUAUACGACCCAUGACCAAUCGUUUUCUUUUGAAGUUAGAUUUGUACUCUUGAGGAUGAAUGAAGGAAUGGGUAUACACAAGAGUUAAAAGGUUGACAACACAAGUAGUCAAUAUUAGAAAAAAAAUUGAGGAUAAAGAGCGAAACCUCAUUCUACAAGCCAUUGGUGCAAACAAUACUAGUUAAAAGGAUAACUUUAGGUUUAAUCUUACUGGAUAGAAUAAAAGGUUUUGAAAGGUAACGAGGCAUUGGUGAUCGAUGGAAGGUAAUCUAGGAAAUAAAAUUAUGAUUGUCAUGGGAGGAACAUGGCAUAAGGAGGUAGAUUUGGUAUAAAUAACUCUAUUUGAGAUUCUAGAUCUAGAGUGGAAUACAAUGAUAAGAAAUAUUUUUAUUGUCAUUGCAAAUGUCAUAUAUAAUCCAAUUUUUGAUCAUUUUAUUGCAUAGAGAGUCACUCAAGAAGAGAGUGGAAUAUUUUUAUUGCCAAUAUUGCAAAGGCCAUGUUUGGCAUCAUUGUGACAAGAUGAAAGCCGCCUUAGAAGAAUUACGAAGUCUAGAGAUGUUACGAAUACGAUGAAAUAUGGGAGCAAAGAUGAUGAUAUUCUCAUGGAUCAUAAAUGUAAUAAGGUUUUGAAAAAUUCAUGGAUUGUAGAUUUUGCAUGCUCCUUUCAUAUUUAUUUAAAGAAAGAAUGUUUUGAUCCUUACAAAGAAUAUGAUGGAGCAAUGAAAACCCUUUGUGAUGUUAGUCACAUGCCAAGACUUCAAAGAAAGAAAGAAAGUUUCUGAAACCGAAAAUCUUACCAUUUUGCGAACUUCUGCUUCCUGCGAUUUGUUCCAUACACCUCUCGCAGCAUCAUCCCCAUGCUUGGUAUCGAUUCGCUUGCUCUGAUCAAGGACAAGCAAAGACAGUAUUAAUUUGUAAGUAUACAUUCGAAACUGAAAUCAGUUUUUGUAAUGUUAAAGGUUGUCCUUUUCAUUAUCAUUUUUUGCAAGUAUAUAUGAUGAUUGAUUUGGAGUAUGAUCCCCCGUGAUGUUCAAGAGCAAUUGCAAGCCCAUUAAUUGGCACCAUAAGGUCAGUUUUUCGAAAAGGCUCAGCAUAUAAGCAUACCAUUCCAUCUGACUUUGGUGCAUCAAAGCGUCCGCCUCGCAAUAAUUUCGCAAAAACACCAGAUGGUUUCAACUUUUCAUUAUUAACAAUCCUUUUAUCCACCCGCAUGUCACUCGCUAGUGCCUGCACUAUCUCAGAACGGCAAUACAUUGCAGCCAAGUGCAAAGGUGUAUUUCCAUCGUAAUCCUUCUCAUUUAUAAGUGCUUCCAGAUCUCGAUUUCCCAAUAUUUCAUCCACUAUUCUCAUCUGUCCACUCUUCGCUGCAACGUGAAGAAUAUUCUGUCCUUUUUCGUUGAGAAAAUCCAUUGGAUCGAACCAAUAAGUAAGUAGUUCGCGUACUACUUCAAGAUGCCCCUUCUGGCAUGCAUCAUGGAUGGGUAAGUUGCCUUCUUCGUUGCUUUGUGAAGCGGCAACAGGACAUCGACUAACCAGGAGUCUUGCUCCAGAAAGGAAGCCCAUGGAUGCUGCAAGAUGAAGGAGAUUUCCCCCUUUUAUGUCCUCGGGAAGCAUUAUAUCCGGCUUGCCGACCGCUAGUUUUUCUAGUGCAGCAUAAUUUAAAAAUGAGAUAAUCAAUACAAAAAACACAAAAUGCAUGGAAAUAACUUGAAUUUUAUGCUUUACAUAAAAUGAAAUCAUGAAGAAUCAGUUUUAAUGAGACCAAUAAUUAUAAGAGUAACAUGUUAUUUUUCACUUCGAAAUGAUGAAAACAUGUCAUUACCUAAAUUUCCUUCCGGCAUAGCUUCUAUAAAAGAAGCAAGCAUCUCCCCGUCGCAACUCUCUACUGCCAAGUACAAGGGAGACUUGUCUUCCUUGUUCUUGUGGUAGGAAACUUCUAGGUCUUCAUUAACGAGGAAACAGGCCACCUCUCGGCAACCCUUGAUGACUGCAUCAUGCAAUGGGGUGUUUCCUUUAUUAUUCUUCAUCCUCAGCAAGCUAGCAAGUUCAAGUGUUCUAUGAUGAAUUUUCACAUGCUCGACGAGAUUUUGAAUUUUGUCAAACCGUACAGCCCUGGCAGCCAGAUGAAGCGCAUUAUCACCCAGGAAAUUUUUCCUGGUGAUUAGGAGGGGGAAGUGAUGACACAGUAGCUGUAUCACACCUUCGCUUCCAUGGCUUGCUGCCACAUGAAGCAGUGAAUUUCCAGAGGCAGCAACAUGUUUGAAAAUGAUACUGAGCACUUCCAGUUCAUUGGACAAGAGAUGAAACAAGGCAUUGAAGUUGUCUUCCUUUGCAUAGAUAUAAAACUCCCUCUGCAGUAUUUUAUUUGGCUCAGAAAAACCAUACUCUGCAAUCGGAACUGGGAAUUUAACUGCCUUCCAUCGUUCAAGCUCCUCAUUUACUGGUCUCGGCAUAUCUAUUUGUAAUUGCAUAGAGGGUUGCAACGUGCUGGGAGAUUGUAUAAUGUCGGUUGAGUGCUCGAUCUCUUCUUGAGUGACUUGACUUUGCUGCGGUUGUAUCAGUGGUAAAUUGGUAAUUACAUGUCUUGUUAUUUGGCCAAGCAAACUAAAGAAUUCAUAGAAAACAUGAAUGCAAGAAAUAUGCUAAUUAAAGUAUUAGUGAGAGAAAACGUACAUUAGCUACAUAAUUUCUCGAAAUACAAUUAUUUAGGAGCAUAAUGUCAAAAUUAAACUGUUAACGCGUUGUCGAUUUUUUCAAGUAAAAGUUUUUUUUAUAUAUUUACAUCCAAAAAUAACUACGGGUUUGUGUAUUGUAUUUAUAAAUAAAAUAAUAUUUUACGACUUUUAAUAUAUUUUCUAAUAGUAUUAUAUAAAUUAAUAAACUAUAUGCACAAAUAUAUCAAAUUAAUAUAAUUGUUUUUAGCCGCAAACAACUGAUGCCAGUUUGUUAAGAAGAAUUUGAAUAGAAUCUUAAGAAAUAAUUCUCAUAAUAUAUGAAGGAGAAAAUAAUACAUAGAUAAAAGUCAAUUCUCUCCAUAAUAAAGAUCAUUCUCAAAAUGCACACUCCAAACACACUAAAGCAAAAUGAAAGGUUUAAUCAUCAUACAAUCCUGACAUAAAAAAAGAAGUCAGACCAAUCCCUCGUAUCCAUACACUCUAAAUUUUGUGCCAAUAACAAAAAAACUAAAUGCAAAAUCUAUAAAUAGUUUUUUUUUUAAAAAAAAAACAGUGAAUAUCUUCUCUUUUGAAGAAUGAGAGAUAGAGUGUACAGUGUAGGAAAAAUUAUAAUUAACCUAAAUACAGGGAUCAUACCUCCUUUCUCUUGUUUACGAAGACGUUUCGGGUAUUUUUCAUGCACUUUCGAUGAAUUGCAAAAAAAAAAAAAACCCAAACAAAUUUAAACUGAAAUAUUGACACCAAAAAAGAAAAAAAAAAACACCGAACCAUUACACUAAUCAUGAGAUUCCAUGUUAAAAUGAAAAGGAAAUAAUAUAUAAGAAAAUCAAUUCUGAAGGAGAACCAUGUAAAUGUGUACCUGUAUAUUAGUGUAAACUGAGAGAGAAGGAGCGUGAAGGGAGAUGACGAAGAAGACCAGUUUCCUGCAUGCAGAAGUACUUUCCCUGCCAAUAAUUAGACAAAAUUAAGAGACUUGUGCAUACUGAGAGGUUUUUUAAGCUCUAAGAAACAAACUCCUUAGGUAAUAAGGUUUCUAAAAGAAAAAAAAAAGGUUUCUUUGCUUUUCACUUUUCUAUUUAAAAGAGAGUGUGCUGAACGAGCAACACGUUGGCAUCCAUUUCAAGCUUUAAAAUUAGAAAAUGUGAUUUUAGAUAUAUAUUUUUUUAAAAAUAUAUUUUUUAUUUAGAAAUAUAUUAAAAUAAUUUUUUUAUUUUUUAAAAUCAAUUUUUAUAUUAACGCAUCAAAAUCAUCUUAAAACACAAAAAAAAUAUUAAUUUAAAAUAAAAAAAUUUUAAUAUUUUUUUUAAAAUAUUUUUAAAACAUAAAAACAAAUAUUAUUGACUGAACUCAAAUUCUUUUGGAUGCAUAUAGUACUUUUUUCUUUCAGAAUCUUUUCUUUUCUAUUUAAAAGAGAUUGUGAUGAACGAGCAACACAGUGACAUCUAAGAUGAAGUGACCAGGUUGUUUUAAUAAUCCUUUUAUAAUAUCAAGCUUUAAAUUUGACAAAUUUAUAAAUUAGGUUCCUCUUAUCAUUAAUCCGAAUUCCUAAUAAUUUUUAUUCAAAUUUGACCACAUCUUUUGUUCAUUGUAGCAUUAAGCUUUGUUGAACAUCAAUUACUAAUCAUACCUGAAUUUAAGCCAUUCAAAUAGCUACCAUCGCCGCCCUGCGGUCACCAAAUCAAACGUACAUCAUACCUCUAUUUUCUAUGCUUUUAUUCAGUUUUGUAAUUGCUUGCUUCCAGUUCUUGUGCUUAGAUACUCGGUUUGCUGAUUAAGUUACAUAUUCCCUGAUCUUUUGUUUGCGGAUUCGAUUUUUAUCCCACUUAUUUUUAUUUUUCCAAUGAAAACUUUCAAUCAACAAGUUUCUCAUCAGAUAUUUGUGUUUCAUCGGUCAUUUCAUCAUAAACUUUGUUUUUUUUUUUUUUUUUUAUGGAAUGACCAAUAAAAAUAUUCAUGCUAAAAAAUUAGAUUUUAUCACCCAUUUGUCAUCGGGAAGUCCGUCCAAGAAAAGGAGCAAAUAUUACCGCUGAAAUCAUGGAUAAAAAUACACUUUAAUUUCCAAUGGAAAUUCCUUCAUCAAUUCCAUUGGAAAUACCUAAACUUUAUGUAAAUUUCGAUGAAAUGUGAGUAAAUAUUGCCGACAAAAAUGCAAUUUUUUUGGUGAUUCUGUUUGUGUUCCAUACUUUUUUUAUGUUGUUUAGUUUUUAUAAUCCCAAAUGCAUUUUUUAUUAACACUAAACUCAUAACAACAACAAUAAAAUUAAAAAUAUUAUAACAAAAUUCCAUACAUAAAAAUUUUGUAAAUAACAUAUUAAAAUUUUUAAAAAGUUGGAGGAGGUGAAAAAAAUCAUGAUCUAUAAGCUCCAUGAGAGGGAGGAAAAUGUAAAGCCAAAUACGCACGUAUUUGCUCUCAUUUUCUAUUAUUUCUUGUUUGAUUUUUGCUUUUAUUUCUUCUAUUAGUUCUGUCAUUAUUUAUGCUCUUAUAUUAUGCAACUCAAUAGCCAAUUGUUAUGGAAUCCUAUCUCAAACCAUCUCCUUAAUGGUCAAUGAUGUCUGGUUGAAAUUGGAAUAUUUUGUGCCUACCAUUGAAACACUACGACUCACCCUUGUAUCUUGGUCAAUGCUAUAGACAUACCACAAACUAAAUUCUUAUCAAGUCUAUUAAUUGCUCUAUCCUUCAACCACAAAUAAGAAUCGUUAGGAGGAUGGUUGUAAUUGUGUUUUUCAUGUUUAACAGCCAUGUUGGCAUUAUAUAUAUUUGUCAAAACAAAACAAAAGGUCAAAAUCCAAUUAAACUUAAAAAAAAUAGUAAUACAAUUAUAACUAUCCAAAAAUACUUACAAUGAACUCUUUCACUGUUUCACUAUAUUAUUGAUAAACCUUUUUAUCUUUUUUGCUUAUCCUCUUUUUUUAUAUGAGUUUCCUAAUAUAACUUCAUUGGAGUAUGUUCGCACCAAAACUGUUUUUCCUAUACAAUAAAUAGUUUGUAAAAAAGUCUCAUAAAUAAAAAAUAAAUUAAUAAUUAAAUAAACAAUAAUUAAAUAUAUAGCAAUGCUCUUAUUAGGCUAUUUGCAUGGUUCACCAAGGAAAGUGCUCCUCAAGUGUGCAUGCUCAUCAAACCAUGAAUUUUCUUUUUUCCUAUUGUUUUGAGACCUAGAUUUUGAGCACUUUUUAAAACCAUAUGAUGCCAAAACUUCUUGAAACUUAGCCCAAUUACUCUUUGUGACGUGUCUCGAUCUAAAAUUUUUCCACAAUACUAUGUCAUCAAAGUUGGCUCUGUUCAUUGAAUAUCUAGAAACAUCAUGCCACAAAUCACGCAACCUAGUAUAGUAAUUUAAUAAACAAAAUUAAGAUAAGGAAAUGAAAUAUUAUAGUUUUACAAUAAUAUAAUUGUUUUUUGCAUUAUACUUACCUAAUUACAAUGUGGUUUUCCCACACAUUUCUUACAACCCCCUCAUUUUCCUUGUCCUGGUAAUUUUUUUUCCUUGUAGUCAAACAUUAGUUAUUUUUAAAAAAUUUUAAAAACUAUAUAUUAACUCAAUGUAUAUAUUAUUUAUUUAACCAUUAACUUUUCCCAAAAACAUCUACUAUAAUCAUACAUUUAGAAUGAUCUUAAAGUUGACUCUAUUAAAACAAUGGUUUUUCAAAAACAAAUUUAAGAUUAAUUGUAUUAAAGAGAAAAACUAUAAAAAAAAAAAACACAAAAAGUGUACCUAAGAUGUACAUCAUCUUGUAACCCAAAUCAAAUGACCUUAGACAAUAGGGAAAAAAACAAAAGCUAAAAAAAAUUAAAAAUUUCUGAAAAUAAGACUGCUUGAAUAAUAGCAUAGAAAAUCAAUUCAUCAAAAUCAUUUAAUGUAAAACUUAAAAUAAUCUAUUACAAAUAAAUAACUUCAAUGGUAAGAGAAAAAACAUGACUUACAUUGUGUCGUUGGCUUUUUAUGUUGCAAUAAGUUUUCUUGAUACAGGGUCUCUAGAAGAAGGGAUUCUACCUUUUUUGUUUGUGAAAUUCAUUGUUGUAAAUGAGAUCAUUGCAUAAUUAGUUGGCAUCAAAGGACAUAAUAAUCUCUCUCUUUGUAUGAUUAAUAGAAAUGAUACUGUGAAUCUGUAAAUUAUGCCAAAAACGCUUUAUUCUGUUUCUAAAGGACUCGAGGCUAUUGCUCUAAGAGUUGAAGUGCCUAUGUUCAAAUCAUUUUAAAAUUACCUGCAUUAUUGCAUUUUUGUUCCACUAGAAAUUGUUUCUGAUGUUUUUGACAUCUACAAAUACUGCAAGGUCCUAUCCUGGUACUACUACAUCUGCUUGGUGUGGCCUUGUUAAGUUAACUGGGAAUUUGCAUAAUGUUUCCAGGCUGAUGCUUUUGAAAGCCAGCGUGGACAAUGCAUUGAUAUCACCUGGAAAGUGAUAAUUUAUUUAAAUAAAACAGACUUUACCAAGGUGAUGGAAACAAUGCUAUACUGCCCUGACAAAUAAAUGUAUAAAUGACAUUCGAGAGUUAAACUGGUUUUGCUUACACCAUUGUGCAUAGAACUGCUUAUUUCCUUUUCUGAAGAAUGUUCUUUGUACGCUUAAUUGAACUAGUCUCUUUAAGUGUUCAAUGGUUCUCACCAACCAUUUGUCAAAGAAAUAAAGAAGUCUGUUAAUUUUAUUGGUUUGCCAUUCCAACAGGGGCUGGAUCCCCUUUAAAUUGUGCAUGCAACUUGUUAGCAAACCUCUUAUUUUGGUAGGCAGAGUUUAUCCGUGUUGUGACUUCAGAUAAUAACAAUGACUGAUUUGGUCAAUCUCUCAAAAAGUUUUCUGUAUUCCCGAGAGUAAUAAUCCUAAUCAUCAUUUUAGGUUAGUUGACAGAAUAUCUUUCUUGGUUAUUUCUUAGUUCAUAUGAACCAAACCUGCCUCAUUCCUCCCCUCAUGCGAGGUAGUUAAGUAGUGUAUGAGCCCUAGUACUGGUUUCAAGAUAUGACUUAUCACUGUGUAUAUGUCUGUAGUUAGUUUAGCUGAGAGUUCAAACAAGUGUUUAUGGUGUUAAACGUUUUUCAAUCAUAAAUUGUUUUGCAGAUAUAAUUGAUGAAUUGGUGAAGAAUGGGAAAGAGAUAAGGCUGUAUAUUUUGCUUCUGAAUCUGGUUUGACGAAAAGAUUUUCUCCUGUAUCUCUACUCAAGUCAUAUCUUAAGAAUUCCAAGAAGAUCACAACUACUGUCUUGAAGAAUGGCAAUUAUAGUGUAGCUGCAACGGUGUGUCUAAUCUCUAUCUACAUUGUGUAAUUCUAAUGACAUGAAAUAUUUGAGUCUUAUUAAUUUUUUUGCAGGAUGAGUCAAGUACCUUGGAGUUGAAUUCUAUUAAAGCAAUCAUCAAAUGUGUGGAAGAUCAUAAGCUUGAAUCAGAAUUUUCCCUUGACAGCUUGAGAAAACGGGCUUCUCUGCUUGAAAAAACCAAAGCAGAGAGGAAGAGGGGUACAUCAGCUGCCACUGCUACCAAGUCUCAAAACAAGCGAGGCCAUGGUUCAAGUGGUGGCCGGGACAGUGGACCUACUCCUUAUCGUCAAGCCAAAGCUGCCAAAUUUUCAAACAAUUAUUCCUCUUUCAGCCGCAGGAAUGCUCCUCUCCCUGCACAGCAUAGCCCGGCUAGAAGAUAUUCAGGGCCAUUCCACUACCCUAGCCAGAGUGUCUACGAGGGCCCCGCAGCAGCCCCGUAUGCAUCAACUUAUGGUAUCUCGCACGCUCAAAGCCCUUCUGCAAUCUCUCAACAACCCUACCAUCACUCUCAAAGCCCCAGUGCAAUUCCUCAACAACUCUACUCACAGCCAGCGGAGAACAUGAGUGCUGCCGGUUUCCGUGCCAGUGGUUCUUAUGGAAGCCAGACCGGUUACGGGGCAUAUGAUUACGGCUCUGCUGCACCCGUUACUUACCAACCUUCAUCCUACACUCAAUAAGAUGGGAGGAACCUAGCCAGGUGUUAAGAUUCUUAUUUUUAUUUGGUGUCUGAUUUCUGGAUGUGGCCCUCUAAUUUUGGGACCCGCCCCCUUCAUCUCCCUUUCCCGUAUAAAAGUUUUUUUUUGGUCUUAUCUCAUGACUGGAUAUGAUGCCCAUGCCUGUAACGCUGAUUACCUUUAUAUGGAGCUCAAGCUGGAUGUGAUUUCCGUGCUGUGAGUUUUAAAUGGUUUGGCUAUCGAGCAUUGUAUUCUUUCAACUUCUUUCCUUGAUUGGAGUCGCCAUUGGGUGCCUAUGCUUGUGUUUUUGCCAAAUUUUGGUUAAUCAAACCAAUUUCAUUUGCUGCUUGCACUUUUUUAAGAAGGAAGAAAUGAAUAACAAGGAACAUGUUAAUUAAUAGGACUAACUUGUUAAAAUCACAACAAUUUAGUAAUCAUGCUAAAAAUCCAAUUUAGUAAGAACAUGGCUAUAAUGGGUAACAAUUAUCUAGUCCUUGUAAUUGAUAGACAUCAUUCUUUUGGCCACUAGGUCUGAAAAUAACUCACAAACAUUCAGACCAAUGGAGAAACUUGUAUUAGAUGUUCUAUAAAAUGGUUAUUCAUCAUCUAAUUCUCUACAUAAACAAAUAACUACAUAUGGUAAUCAAUAACACCAUUUAGGCUUUCAUUGAUUAGCUCAAUCAAAACUAAAAUGAGCUCAAAUAAAGUUGACCAAGCACUUGUUUUUGUACUGUUUCUUAGGAGACAAGUCUUAUGAUAUCCUUUAAUAAUAAGCACUCUAAUAAGAAUAUUUGGAAGUAGUCAUAUUCUAAGUAUUACAUGUCCACAUAAUAAUAAUUUCAACAUAAUUUGGGUACACACUUCCAAGUGAUCAGUUAAUGUUUAAUUUUACGAUAAAAUAUUUCAUUUUAUUAGUUUAGAGCAAUUAAGGCUUUUGGAAAUAAAAUUAAAUCCUUAAAAACUUGUGAACACCUUUAAUUUUGUCCCAUUGAGGACUAGUUUCUAAUUUUAGUUGUAGUUAUUUUUUAUUUUAAUUUGGUUUUUCCAUAUAUUUUUUGAAAAUUGUCUUGAUAGUUUUUAUUCUUAGAUAUAAUGGUCCAUAAUAUGAAGACAAAGGUCUAGUGCUUGAUUGAUGUUCAAUUUUAUCAAAAUAUGUUUAAAUUGAGUUGACUUAAAGCAAUUAGGGUUUAAAGGACCAAAUUUGAUUAUGAAAUAAAUAUGAGAGACUAAAAUUAAUGAGUAUAGUUAAAAAGGUACAACAGCUUUGGCAGCAUAUGCAACCUUUUCUAGCGGCCAACCCACCCUUCCACGGUGGCGAUCGAUGUAUCUUAGAAUUCUUUUUUGCAAGGGUAAUUAACACAUGUAUUCUUAUUCUUGGUGGUGUGUCGUUAGCGUUAUUUUUUUAUUUUAUUUUAUUUAUAUUUUUCCUCUCUUUUCUUUAAAAUUCAUGCUAGCCAUUUCAAAUUUCGUAGUUGUCUCCUUGUUUUAGUAUUAUUUCAAAUUCGAAUCUUUUUUUAUUACUAAGUUUUUGUUCUAGAUCUUUUUUUAAAAUGUAAAAUUGUUUUCAAUUUUCUCAUUCAAUAAAAAAUUACAAGUUGUCCUUUUUUUUAUUUUUAAAAUUUGGUCCAUAUUUUUUUAAUUCCUAUUUUUAGUUUUUGAUCCUAUAGUGAAAUUAAAUUUUCCUUUCAUUUUCAUCAUCUAAUUUGUUUUUAUUUCUAAUUCUAUUCUUAUUCUUUUGGUUGGCCUUGAUCUCUUUUUCUGUCCUUCUAGGGUGCUGUAAUCACCAUCAACAAAGUGGCCUUUUAAGGAAGAAGUGGCUCAAAUUGUUUAUAUAGUUGGGUUACAUUUUAAUAUAGUCAUGUAUUUGAAAAAGUAUUUAGUUAAUUAAUAUAUAUAUAUAUUACUAAAAAUUCUUUUAAAAUUUUAAUUAAAAUAUAAUAUAAUUUAUAACUUUUUUUAAAUGUAUUUUUUUAAAUCACAUAUCUAUCACAAAGAAAGAUCUUUUCAUAAAUCCCAACUUUCGCAAGAAUAUUAAUCAUGAGUCCUUACAUGUCCUCUUCCUUGUUGAAUUCUACGGCCUUCGAAUGUCAUGUCUAUGCCGAUUUACUCGGGUAUUUCUUUAUGCAUGCAUGCAAAAUAAUAUAAUAAUUAAUUAUUAGUUUAUAGAGGCUGAUAAAUAAAUAAAAUAUAUAGUUUAUUGAGUUUCCAAAACAAAACAAUCGCAUCUUGUGGUCAUCAACCAAAUCUAAUACUGUUUGGAAAAACACUGUUCAUGUAGAUUAAUAAGUACUAUUUAUUAAAACAAAGUAUUAAUGAUAGUUUUGCUUUUCUCGUAAAAGAAUUUGAACCAGUUAUUUAAGAUACUUUCACAAGUUUCAUUUAUUAUUAUCAAGUCAAAUUAAUAAGUGUUUUUGUAUUUUGAAAUCAUAGUAAAAUAAUUAAAAUAUGUUUACAUGUAAAAAAUUAUAAACUAAUGUCCAAGUGCUUUUUAGUAUUUUUACACUAGUUUUUUCAUUAUUAUUAGGUUAGUUGAAGGAAAAACUAGUAUUUUAAUAAAUAAAAAAUAUUAUUUAAAAACAAAAAACGACUAGCCUAUGUAAUGCUUGUGCAAGCAUAUAAGCGGCGCUAGCUACACUCAAGUGGCAUCUCUCAACGAUCAAACAUUAGUUUUUGCCAUGUCAUUGGAAGCACUGCAACAUACUCUUCCUUUAAGAACGACACAUGGUGUUAUUGGGGUGGCGGUGUGAUGUUGGUGACUUUUUUUUCUUCUCAUUCCACUUUACUCUUUCCUCCUCUUGAAAAUCGUGUUGGCCAUGCGAAAUUUCAAAGUUGUCAUCUAAUUUAUUGAGAUGUCAAAUUUAUUAUUUAUUAUUUUGAUUUAUUAUUUUUGUUUUUGGUCAUUUUGUGAAAUUUUGAGUUAUUUUUAAUUUUAUCUUUCAAUCUCAAUUUGUGAUAUAUUAUGUUUUUUUUCAAUUUAGUCUUCAUUCUUUUUGAUAGUUUUAUUUUGAGUCCUUUUGUUAAAUUGAAUUUUCUUUUCAAUUUCACCCUUCAAUUAAAAAAAAAUUUAUUUUUUUUAUUUUAAUUUUGAUCCUCAUUCCUUCAAUUACUAUUUUUUUUUUUCUAAAUAAUUGAUUUUUCUUUUUUUCAUUUUUAAAUUUUAUCAAAAACGCACGUGAUUAGUUGUUGUCAAACUAUCUAGUGCUAAGAAUUCGAAAGUCAAGUACCCUGCAAUAUGAAAGAACUCUGAAAACACACACCAGAGACAUGCAUGUUCUGCUUUAUAUUUAACCAAAGUCGUUACAAGAGAGAGGAGAAAGAGCUUAUCUAUUUGUUACAAGAGAUACAAAUUACAUGAGAUUUAAAUACCCUCCAGUUUGAACUGGAUGUGAUCCUAUUCUCCACCCAUAAAAAUUAUAAGGAAUUUAAUGGGAUUUGCAAGCAGGACAGACAUUACUGAAAAUCUAGAGUAACAAAGUACUUGCCAAUAAUAAAAGAGGAUUGGAAUGUGAUGAUGGUUAUGAAAAUCCAGUACGUUCUUGCACCGUGAUUGCCAGGAUGAAUGUAUAUGCUAAACCCAUGAAGGAAAGGCCACAUAUGAUACAAUAUGUCGCCAUGUCCAUGCUUAUUCUUACAUUACCGGUACGACCUAAUGAUAUCCGACAAAGGAUUAUAGCGGCGAUGAGGGAGAAAUUCAUAGCUAGCAUGUCAAAAAAAAUAUAAGCUCUCAUCAGAUAUUUUGAAGUACCACUGCUAAGAUCAGAACCUGAUCCAGGCACAGUGAUAGCACCAGCGAAGGUUACUCCAGCUACCAGUACUGCCACCACGAGAAGAUUCCCUACCCCUCUGUUCCGUUCCUCCGUCGUUAACGUCGUUCUUGGUGAAUCAAAGAUAAGAUUGAUGCCAAACUCAUUCUUAUCAUUUCCUCCACCAAAACUUUUAAUACCUCACGCUGAACAACAAAAUGUUAAUUAGAAAAUAUAUGGUAAACAAAUUAAUUAUAUAAAGCAUCAUGACAAUGUUAUCUUAAUAUCCCAUAAUAACGAAGAAGUAACUCAUCGCAAUAUAUUUAGUAGAUCAGCGAGGCAUUCCAUAUUUUUGAGCAAGUAAAGAACUUUAUUUCCACUUUGGAUUAAUCAAAUUUUAGGUAAUUAAAAGAAAUCUAUCAUUCCCUUUUCUAUAAAGUUGCAACAUGGACAGAAUGUGGAUGUGAAAGUUUUUGCUAGACUAGAAUGUAUUUACUUCAAUCACCUGAUUAGCUUCUUACGUGGACGAAACCCUCUGGUAUUGAUGAAUAUAAAAGAAUUAAAUGUGACUGAGGUUUUGAAAAUUAAAAAAUCUUUUUAAAUGAGUAUUGAUUGUUCCUAUAUAUGCAAUUACUAGAAGCUGGAUUGUGGAGUAUAAUGCCAUUACUAGAAGCUUAUUGGCAUAUGGAAAAAACUAGAGAGUAUUUAUGCUUCUAGACCCAUGACUAAUCGUUUUCUUUUGAAGUUAGAUUUGUACUCUUGAGGAUGGAUGAAGGAAUGGGUAUACACAAGAGUUAAAAGGUUGACAACACAAGUAGUCAAUAUUAGAAAAAACAAAAUUGGGGAAAAAGAGCGAAACCUCAUUCUACAAGCCAUUGGUGCAAACAAUACUAGUUAAAAGGAUAACUUUAGGUUUAAUCUUACUAGAUAGAAUAAAAGGUUUUGAAAGGUAACGAGGCAUUGGUGAUGGAAGGUAAUCUAGGAAAUAAAAUUAUGAUUGUCAUGGGAGGAACAUGGCAUAAAGAGGUAGAUUUGGUAUAAAAAACUCUAUUUGAGAUUCUAGAUCUAGAGUGGAAUACAAUAUUAAUAUUUUUAUUGUCAUUGCAAAAUACUAGUUAAAAGGAUAACUUUAGGUUUAAAUGAUACAACUAUAAUUUUAUUGGAGAAUGAUAGGUUUUGAAAAUAGAAAACAAUGUCAAAAGGUAACGAGGCAUUGGUUAUGGGAGGUGGUCCUGUAAUUUACCAUGAAAGAUGGGAGCAAAGUGUUGAAUAUUAAACUCAAUCCAGAAGCUCCCAGAAGGUCAAGGAAGACAACCAGCCACCAGCCACCAGUCGCCGACCAGCCGCCAGCCGCCUUCACACUUGAAGGUUGAAUUUUCUAGUUUUUGAUUUCGUGUAUAAAUAGAGUGCCUAGCUUCUGUUAAUGUGUGUGGAGAGAAUUGAGAGCAAACACUAGAAAGAGAAAUAGAGAGAGAGAGGGCAUGUACUGUUAAGCUUUUGUUAAUUAAUUGUAAGCUUGUGUUUUUGUAACAAAACUUUGUGUUUUAUCCCCUCUGAGUGUUUCAAAGUCACCACCAGUGGUUUCUCCCAUGCACCAACAAUUAGUAUCAGAGCCCCGUUCGUCAGAAAACAGAAGUGUUUUGGGGUACAUCCGAAUUUUCAAAGUUGUCAAAAACAAGUUUUGAUCAUUCCACAGUGAAGAGCUCAUCAAUACGAACUCACUGUCGCAAGAAUCAGCCUUAUCGGAGUCCGCGGUGAUCCACACGCGCCGCCUGAAGAUCCGGUGACUGUAUCCCAUGCGCAUCCACGCGCGCCAUAUUUGAGCCGCGCCGAGCCCGAGCCGCGCCGCAAGCCGAGCCGUCCUCCGCACCGAGAGAAUAUUCCCCAAAAUAUUCCCCGAAUAUUCCUGGUUCAACCUAGCGAACCGCCCGCCGUACAGAAUUGGUUUUUUGACCGGUUCACCCAUUUUCUGACCCGAAUUCAACAAAGUCAGACCGGUUCCCUGCUAUUUGGAUCAUUCCAGAUCGAUCUACAAUGUCCGUUUGGCCAAAUUCGGCUCCUAGAAAGGUGAUAUAAUCAUUCAAAGAGCAAAAUGACUACAGAAGAUACACAUACACUCAUUCCAAAGCUGACCAAAGACAACUAUGAUAGUUGGUGCAUCAGAUUGAAGGCAUUCCUUGGGUCACAAGAGUGUUUGGAUAUUGUACAAACUGGUUAUGAUGAAUCAGAGUCCAAAGAAAGAGAAGAUGUUUUAUAAGAGGCACAAAAGCAAGCUCUUAAAGUCAACAGAAAGAAAGACAACAAAGCAAAGACCAUCAUCUAUCAGGGUCUUGAUGAAGACACAUUCGAGAUCAUAGCUUCCGCUGAAACAUCACAUGAUAUAUGGAGGCUCUCCAACAGAAAUACAAAGGUGCUGACAGAAUUAAAAAAAUUCGUCUUCAAUCUUUGCGAGGUGAAUUUGAGUUAUUGCAAAUGAAGUCCUCGGAGUCUAUUUCUGAUUAUCGCACAAGGAUUAUGGUGAUAGUCAACCAGAUGAGGAGAAAUGGAGAAGCCAUCGUCGAUUCUCGAAUUACUGAGAAAAUUUUGAGAUCGCUAGAUCCAAAAUUCGAUUUUGUUGUUGUCGCAAUUGAAGAAUCUAAAGAAGUGGACAAGUUGACAGUUGAUGAACUUAUGAGUUCUUUGCAAGCUCAUGAGCAGAAAAUUGUAAAGGGAAAUGGAGAUAAGGCAAUUGAGCAUGCCUUACAAGCAAAGCUGUCUCUCAAGGACAAAUAUGAGCAAGGGGAGACUUCAACAAAUGGAUAUACCACUCAAGCAGGAAGUCAACAAUCCAGAGGAGGAUUCCAGAGAUUCCAAGGAAGAGGUUCUUGGAAUACAAGCUUUAGAGGAAGAGGUGGCAGAAACAUCAUUAGAGGAGAUCGAGGACAACAAGCAUUCAAUCCUAGAGGAAGAGGGGGCGAUUACAAUAACCAUGACAAGAGGAAUAUCCAAUGUUAUAGUUGCAAUCAAUUUGGGCACUAUAGCACUGAAUGCAGAAGGAAAGCUCUAUUGGAGAUACGUGAGCAAGCCAACUAUGCAGAGAAGGAUGACAGAGAAGAAGCUGCAUUUCUUGUCCAACAAGAACAAAAUUAAGAUAAGGAAAUGAAAUAUUAUAGUUUUACAAUAAUAUAAUUGUUUUUUGCAUUAUACUUACCUAAUUACAAUGUGGUUUUCCCACACAUUUCUUACAACCCCCUCAUUUUCCUUGUCCUGGUAAUUUUUUUUCCUUGUAGUCAAACAUUAGUUAUUUUUAAAAAAAUUUUAAAAACUAUAUAUUAACUCAAUGUAUAUAUUAUUUAUUUAACCAUUAACUUUUCCCAAAAACAUCUACUAUAAUCAUACAUUUAGAAUGAUCUUAAAGUUGACUCUAUUAAAACAAUGGUUUUUCAAAAACAAAUUUAAGAUUAAUUGUAUUAAAGAGAAAAACUAUAAAAAAAAAACACAAAAAGUGUACCUAAGAUGUACAUCAUCUUGUAACCCAAAUCAAAUUGACCUUAGACAAUAGGGAAAAAAACAAAAGCUAAAAAAAAUUAAAAAUUUCUGAAAACAAGACUGCUUGAAUAAUAGCAUAGAAAAUCAAUUCAUCAAAAUCAUUUAAUGUAAAACUUAAAAUAAUCUAUUACAAAUAAAUAACUUCAAUGGUAAGAGAAAAAACAUGACUUACAUUGUGUCGUUGGCUUUUUAUGUUGCAAUAAGUUUUCUUGAUACAGGGUCUCUAGAAGAAGGGAUUCUACCUUUUUUGUUUGUGAAAUUCAUUGUUGUAAAUGAGAUCAUUGCAUAAUUAGUUGGCAUCAAAGGACAUAAUAAUCUCUCUCUUUGUAUGAUUAAUAGAAAUGAUACUGUGAAUCUGUAAAUUAUGCCAAAAACGCUUUAUUCUGUUUCUAAAGGACUCGAGGCUAUUGCUCUAAGAGUUGAAGUGCCUAUGUUCAAAAUCAUUUUAAAAUUACCUGCAUUAUUGCAUUUUUGUUCCACUAGAAAUUGUUUCUGAUGUUUUUGACAUCUACAAAUACUGCAAGGUCCUAUCCUGGUACUACUACAUCUGCUUGGUGUGGCCUUGUUAAGUUAACUGGGUAUUUGCAUAAUGUUUCCAGGCUGAUGCUUUUGAAAGCCAGCGUGGACAAUGCAUUGAUAUCACCUGGAAAGUGAUAAUUUAUUUAAAUAAAACAGACUUUACCAAGGUGAUGGAAACAAUGCUAUACUGCCCUGACAAAUAAAUGUAUAAAUGACAUGCGAGAGUUAAACUGGUUUUGCUUACACCAUUGUGCAUAGAACUGCUUAUUUCCUUUUCUGAAGAAUGUUCUUUGUACGCUUAAUUGAACUAGUCUCUUUAAGUGUUCAAUGGUUCUCACCAACCAUUUGUCAAAGAAAUAAAGAAGUCUGUUAAUUUUAUUGGUUUGCCAUUCCAACAGGGGCUGGAUCCCCUUUAAAUUGUGCAUGCAACUUGUUAGCAAACCUCUUAUUUUGGUAGGCAGAGUUUAUCCGUGUUGUGACUUCAGAUAAUAACAAUGACUGAUUUGGUCAAUCUCUCAAAAAGUUUUCUGUAUUCCCGAGAGUAAUAAUCCUAAUCAUCAUUUUAGGUUAGUUGACAGAAUAUCUUUCUUGGUUAUUUCUUAGUUCAUAUGAACCAAACCUGCCUCAUUCCUCCCCUCAUGCGAGGUAGUUAAGUAGUGUAUGAGCCCUAGUACUGGUUUCAAGAUAUGACUUAUCACUGUGUAUAUGUCUGUAGUUAGUUUAGCUGAGAGUUCAAACAAGUGUUUAUGGUGUUAAACGUUUUUCAAUCAUAAAUUGUUUUGCAGAUAUAAUUGAUGAAUUGGUGAAGAAUGGGAAAGAGAUAAGGCUGUAUAUUUUGCUUCUGAAUCUGGUUUGACGAAAAGAUUUUCUCCUGUAUCUCUACUCAAGUCAUAUCUUAAGAAUUCCAAGAAGAUCACAACUACUGUCUUGAAGAAUGGCAAUUAUAGUGUAGCUGCAACGGUGUGUCUAAUCUCUAUCUACAUUGUGUAAUUCUAAUGACAUGAAAUAUUUGAGUCUUAUUAAUUUUUUUGCAGGAUGAGUCAAGUACCUUGGAGUUGAAUUCUAUUAAAGCAAUCAUCAAAUGUGUGGAAGAUCAUAAGCUUGAAUCAGAAUUUUCCCUUGACAGCUUGAGAAAACGGGCUUCUCUGCUUGAAAAAACCAAAGCAGAGAGGAAGAGGGGUACAUCAUCAGCUGCCACUGCUACCAAGUCUCAAAACAAGCGAGGCCAUGGUUCAAGUGGUGGCCGGGACAGUGGACCUACUCCUUAUCGUCAAGCCAAAGCUGCCAAAUUUUCAAACAAUUAUUCCUCUUUCAGCCGCAGGAAUGCUCCUCUCCCUGCACAGCAUAGCCCGGCUAGAAGAUAUUCAGGGCCAUUCCACUACCCUAGCCAGAGUGUCUACGAGGGCCCCGCAGCAGCCCCGUAUGCAUCAACUUAUGGUAUCUCGCACGCUCAAAGCCCUUCUGCAAUCUCUCAACAACCCUACCAUCACUCUCAAAGCCCCAGUGCAAUUCCUCAACAACUCUACUCACAGCCAGCGGAGAACAUGAGUGCUGCCGGUUUCCGUGCCAGUGGUUCUUAUGGAAGCCAGACCGGGUUACGGGGCAUAUGAUUACGGCUCUGCUGCACCCGUUACUUACCAACCUUCAUCCUACACUCAAUAAGAUGGGAGGAACCUAGCCAGGUGUUAAGAUUCUUAUUUUUAUUUGGUGUCUGAUUUCUGGAUGUGGCCCUCUAAUUUUGGGACCCGCCCCCUUCAUCUCCCUUUCCCGUAUAAAAGUUUUUUUUUGGUCUUAUCUCAUGACUGGAUAUGAUGCCCAUGCCUGUAACGCUGAUUACCUUUAUAUGGAGCUCAAGCUGGAUGUGAUUUCCGUGCUGUGAGUUUUAAAUGGUUUGGCUAUCGAGCAUUGUGAUUACUCUCAUGAUUGGAGUCGCCAUUGGGCGCCUAUGCUUGUUUUUUUGCUAAAUUUUGGCAUGCCUAAUAGACUAAUUUGUUAAAUCACAACAAUUUAGUAAUCAUGCUAAAAAUCCAAUUUAGUAAGAACAUGGCUAUGAUGGGUAACAAUUAGCUAGCCCUUGUAAUUGAUAGACGUCAUUCUUUUGGCCACGAGAGGUCUGAAAAUAACUCACAAACAUUCAGACCAAUGGAGAAGCUUGUAUUACAUGUUCUAUAAAAUGGUUAUUCAUCAUCUAAUUCUUUAUAUAAACAAAUAACUACACAUGAAUAGAACAAUAAUGUUCCCUUAUAGUUUAUAAUAUUGCCACCUUUGUGAGUAUCAUUACCUUUGUGAAUAUCAUUUUGCCUCUACCAUCACAACCUCACAGUUAAUUUUUUUUUUCAUCAUUCAAUUUUUUUUUAAAAUUAGUCUUAUAAUUUGUUUUUUCAAUUCAGCUAUCCCCGAUUUCAUUACCAGAACUACAUGUUUGAUGAAUUUUUUUUGGGUCGCUGUUUUUUUAUUUAAAAUUUUAUUAGUUUCAUCCUUGAACAUUUGGUUCCUUUAGAAUUGAUUAUUGUAAUCAUUCUAAAGACAUGCAUAAAUUGUUUUAAGGCCUUAAAGUGCAUCUUCAUUCAUCUCAGAAACUGAAAAAAUAAAAAAAAAUCAAAUAAAAGAAACCUAAUUAUUUUUCCUGGCCUUGAUCUCUUUUUCUUUGUCCUUCUAGGGUGGUGUAAUCACCAUCAACAAAAUGGCCUUUUAAGGAAGAAGGGGACACUGGACACCAUUAUAGCAGGUUGCAAUGUCAGGAUCUAGAGGAAAGUUUCUCUCCUCGCCUAUCUCUCCUCGGUCCUGUCUCCGAUCUUUACAUACAGGGACUGAAUUUUAAAAAUAGUGUGUUUGUUUUUUAAAUAGGUUUUGUGGUUUUGAUUUUAAAAAAAUAAAUUUAAAAAAAGUGUGGUUAACUAUGAUUAGUUAAAUUUAAAUACGUGUUUAGUAAAAAUUAUAGUUGAAGUUUAUGUGUAACAAAAAUAAUGUAUAAAAUAUUUGGUGGAAGUAUAGUUGCCGUUGUUUUUUAAAGUGUUUUUUACUUGGAAAUGUAUCAAAAUAAUUUUUUUAAAAAAAUUAUUUUUGAUAUCAGCAUUGAUUUGAAAACAAAAAAAAUAUAUCAAUUUGAAGCAAAGAAAAAAAUAAAAAAAUUUAUUUUUUUCAAAAGCGCUUUUGAAACAUAAAAAUAAAUAGGGUUUUAUGAAACUCAAUUAAAAAAUCAUGUAAAAACUACUACAUAAAAAUUACGUUUCAAACUCAACUUUUUAGUAAGUCCCGCAUUACAAACCAAAGUUUAGUUUGUUAAUUACCAAACACUUUGCCAUGUUUGUUUCACCACAAACAAAAAACCAGUGAAGAAAUCCUAAAUAUCUAAAUAAUUUAUACAUGUUUUUUACUACACAUAACCUUUAACUAUAAUUUUUAUUAAACACAUAUUUAAAUUCAAUUAAUUACAAUUGACUCUAUUUAAAAAAAAAAACUUAUUUUUUUAAAUUAAAAUCUCAAAAACUAUCUAAAAAAUAAAGAAACGAGUGAGGAUGUUGAUGAUGCCAAGCAAGUCAGUGUAAAGUGGAAAUCUUGACAAGAUGUUGUAGCCUUCAUAAAAAGUACAAUGCAGUACAAAACGAGAGGUGAAUGUUUGAGAUUGUUAUAAUUUUUAAUUUUAUAUGAUUUUUAAAAGUAUAUUUUAUUUUAAAAAUAUAUUAAAUUAAUAUUUUUUUAAUAAUUUUUUCUAAAACAUAUUUUUCUAAAACAUAUUUUUAAAAAUAAUUUCCAUCACAACACUAAAAACAUAUAAAUAUUUAUCAUAGUAACAAGAAGUGAUAAUAUUUGAUGUAAAAACGGCUGAAUGUAUAUGUCAUGUUUCGAGAAGCGUCCAUGAUUAUAUCAUUAUGAUCCCAAAAAGAAAAAUAUUAAAUAUUAGGCUACAAUUAUUUAUAUACAGUUUUAAAACCUGGACCGGCCCGGCAGGUCAACUCGGGCCGAGACCGGUCCAGGUAGAGGCAAAAAUCUACUUGGAAAUUGACUCGGUAAAACCCGGUCGAUCUGCCGGGUUGACCCCGUGACCUGGACCACCCGGUCAAACCCGGCUGACACAUGAUCUCUCUUUCUCUCUUUCUCUAUAUAUAUAUAUAGACGUUAAACGACGUCGUUUUGGCCUUAAAAGGCCAAAACGAUGAACAAUGACGAAGCAGAAUUGGGGACACAUUGAUUACAGAGCAAACCCAAUUAACGAAAGAUUCCAUCACAGCCAAUGCAACUACAGUCUGGUCUAUAAGCUUUUGGCUUUCUUCUUUGCUCUUGCCAAUUAGGAUUUUUGCGUUUCGAGUGAUCGAUUUGCCCAUCAAAGUUGAAGUGAAGGGAGUGAGUUGGUUACAGAGAGAACUCCAUUCUAGGAUUUUAAGGGUUUUGAGUUGGAGUGAGCGAGCUGGAGGAGUGAGUUUCGGUGAGUGUGAAUCAAAGGGUUUUGUUAGGGCUUUGGUGGAGAAGGGUGGUUUGGUGGUGAAGAAGAGAAUCGGGGAUUUUUUAAUGGCUAUUAAAUGAUUGGAGAGUUUGAUUAAUGAAGGAUUUUUGAGGGAGAGAAGGAAAGGGAUGGGCUGUUUGACAACAACUUAUCCUUUUUAUUUUCAGCUUAUCUUUUAUUUUAGGUUGACUUGUUUUUAGGUUGACUCGUGUCAAUCAAUCUAACUCGUGAUUCGAUCACUUGACUAGAUUGAUAUCCGGAUCGAUUUUUAAAAUUAUGAUUUCUAUAAUUAGGUUACAUUUCGUUAUAGUCAUGUAUUUGAAAAAAUAUUUAGUUAAUAAAUAUAUAUAUAUAUAUAUAUAUAUAUAUAUGUUUUACUAAAAAUUAUUUUAAAAUUUUAAUUAAAAUAUAAUAUAUUUUAUAACUUUUUUUAAAAUGUAUUUUUUAAAAUCACAUAUCUAUCACAAAGAAAGAUCUUUUCAUACAUCCCAACUUUAGGCUAGAAGAUAUUCAGGGCCAUUCCACUACCCUAGCCAGAGUGUCUACGAGGGCCCCGCAGCAGCCCCGUAUGCAUCAACUUAUGGUAUCUCGCACGCUCAAAGCCCUUCUGCAAUCUCUCAACAACCCUACCAUCACUCUCAAAGCCCCAGUGCAAUUCCUCAACAACUCACUCACAGCCAGCGGAGACAUGAGUGCUGCCGGUUUCCGUGCCAGUGGUUCUUAUGGAAGCCAGACCGGUUACGGGGCAUAUGAUUACGGCUCUGCUGCACCCGUUACUUACCAACCUUCAUCCUACACUCAAUAAGAUGGGAGGAACCUAGCCAGGUGUUAAGAUUCUUAUUUUAUUUGGUGUCUGAUUUCUGGAUGUGGCCCUCUAAUUUUGGGACCCGCCCCCUUCAUCUCCCUUUCCCGUAUAAAAGUUUUUUUUUGGUCUUAUCUCAUGACUGGAUAUGAUGCCCAUGCCUGUAACGCUGAUUACCUUUAUAUGGAGCUCAAGCUGGAUGUGAUUUCCGUGCUGUGAGUUUUAAAUGGUUUGGCUAUCGAGCAUUGUGAUUACUCUCAUGAUUGGAGUCGCCAUUGGGCGCCUAUGCUUGUUUUUUUGCUAAAUUUUGGCAUGCCUAAUAGACUAAUUUGUUAAAUCACAACAAUUUAGUAAUCAUGCUAAAAAUCCAAUUUAGUAAGAACAUGGCUAUGAUGGGUAACAAUUAGCUAGCCCUUGUAAUUGAUAGACGUCAUUCUUUUGGCCACGAGAGGUCUGAAAAUAACUCACAAACAUUCAGACCAAUGGAGAAGCUUGUAUUACAUGUUCUAUAAAAUGGUUAUUCAUCAUCUAAUUCUUUAUAUAAACAAAUAACUACACAUGAAUAGAACAAUAAUGUUCCCUUAUAGUUUAUAAUAUUGCCACCUUUGUGAGUAUCAUUACCUUUGUGAAUAUCAUUUUGCCUCUACCAUCACAACCUCACAGUUAAUUUUUUUUUUCAUCAUUCAAUUUUUUUUUAAAAUUAGUCUUUAUAAUUUUGUUUUUCAAUUCAGCUAUCCCGAUUUCAUUACCAGAACUACAUGUUUGAUGAAUUUUUUUUUGGGUCGCUGUUUUUUUUAUUUAAAAUUUUAUUAGUUUCAUCCUUGAACAUUUGGUUCCUUUAGAAUUGAUUAUUGUAAUCAUUCUAAAGACAUGCAUAAAUUGUUUUAAGGCCUUAAAGUGCAUCUUCAUUCAUCUCAGAAACUGAAAAAAUAAAAAAAAAUCAAAUAAAAGAAACCUAAUUAUUUUUCCUGGCCUUGAUCUCUUUUUCUUUGUCCUUCUAGGGUGGUGUAAUCACCAUCAACAAAAUGGCCUUUUAAGGAAGAAGGGGACACUGGACACCAUUAUAGCAGGUUGCAAUGUCAGGAUCUAGAGGAAAGUUUCUCUCCUCGCCUAUCUCUCCUCGGUCCUGUCUCCGAUCUUUACAUACAGGGACUGAAUUUUAAAAAUAGUGUGUUUGUUUUUUAAAUAGGUUUUGUGGUUUUGAUUUAAAAAAAUAAGUUUAGAAAAAGGUGUGGUUAACUAUGAUUAGUUAAAUUUAAAUACAUGUUUAGUAAAAAUUAUAGUUGAAGUUUAUGUGUAACAAAAAUAAUAUAUAAAAUAUUUGGUGGAAGUGUUGGUUGUUUGUUUUUUACUUGGAAAUACAUCAAAAUAAUUUUUUUUUAAUUAUUUUUUAUAUCAGCAUUGAUUUGAAAACAAAAAAUAUAUCAAUUUGAAGCAAGGAAAAAAAUAAAAAAAUUUAUUUUUUUCAAAAGCGUUUUGAAACGUAAAAAUAAAUAGGGUUUUAUGAACUCAAUUAAAAAAUCAUGUAAAAAUACUACAUAAAAAUUGCGUUUCAAACUCAAUUUUUUAUAAGUCCCGCAUUACAAACCAAGUUUGGUUUGUUAAUUACCAAACACUUUGCCAUGUUUGUUUCACCGCAAACAAAAAACCAGUGAAAAAAUCUAAAUAUCUAAAUAAUUUAUACAUGUUUUUUACUACACAUAAAAUUUAACUAUAAUUUUUAUUAAAUACAUAUUUAAAUUCAAUUAAUUACAAUUGACUCUAUUUAAAAAAAACUUAUUUUUUUAAAUUAAAAUCUCAAAAACUAUCUAAAAAAUAAAGAAACGAGUGAGGAUGUUGAUGAUGCCAAGCAAGUCAGUGUAAAGUGGAAAUCUUGACAAGAUGUUGUAGUCUUCAUAAAAAGUACAAUGCAGUACAAAACGAGAGGUGAAUGUUUGAGAUUGUUAUAAUUUUUAAUUUUAUAUGAUUUUUAAAAGUAUAUUUUAUUUUAAAAAUAUAUUAAAUUAAUAUUUUUUUAAUAAUUUUUUAUAAAACAUAUUUUUAAAAAUAAUUUCCAUCACAACACUAAAAACAUAUAAAUAUUUAUCAUAGUAACAAGAAGUGAUAAUAUUUGAUGUAAAAACGGCUGAAUGUAUAUGUCAUGUUUCGAGAAGCGUCCAUGAUUAUAUCAUUAUGAUCCCAAAAAGAAAAAUAUUAAAUAUUAGGCUACAAUAUUUAUCAUAAUUUUAAAACUCGGACCGGCCCGCAGGUCGACUCGGGUCUGGAACCGGUCCAAGUGGAGGCAAAAAUCCACUUGGAAAUUGACUCGGUGAAACCUGGUCGAUCUGCGGGUCGACCCGUGACCCGGAUCACCCGGUCAAACCCGGCUGACACUUGACUCUCUCUCUUAUAUAUAUAUAUAUAUAUAGACGUUAAAAGACCGUUUUGGCCUUUUAAAAGGCCAAAACGAUUAACAAUGACGAAGCAGAAUUGGGACACAUUGAUUACAGAGCAAACCCAAAUAACGAAAGAUUCCAUCACAGCCAAUGCAACUACAGUCUGGUCUAUAAGCUUUUGGCUUUCUUCUUUGCUCUUGCCAAUUAGGAUUUUUGCGUUUCGAGUGAUCGAUUUGCCCAUCAAAGUUGAAGUGAAGGGAGUGAGUUGGUUACAGAGAGAACUCCAUUCUAGGAUUUUAAGGGUUUUGAGUUGGAGUGAGCGAGCUGGAGGAGUGAGUUUCGGUGAGUGUGAAUCAAAGGGUUUUGUUAGGGCUUUGGUGGAGAAGGGUGGUUUGGUGGUGAAGAAGAGAAUCGGGGAUUUUUUAAUGGAUAAAUGAUUGGAGAGUUUCAUUAAUGAAGGAUUUUUGAGGGAGAGAAGGAAAGGGAUGGCUGUUUGGACUUAUCCUUAUUUCAGCUUAUUUUUUUUUUAGAGUUUAUGCCGUGUCAAUCAUCUGACUCGUGAUCCGAUCACUUGACUAGAUUGAUAUCCGGAUCGGGUUUCAAAACUAUGAUUUCUAUAAUUAGGUUACAUUUCGUUAUAGUCAUGUAUUUGAAAAAUAUUUAGUAUUAUAUAUAUAUAUAUAUAUAUAUAUAUAUGUUUUACUAAAAAUUAUUUUAAAAUUUUAAUUAAAAUAUAAUAUAUUUUAUAACUUUUUUUAAAAUGUAUUUUUUAAAAUCACAUAUCUAUCACAAAGAAAGAUCUUUUCAUACAUCCCAACUUUAGGCUAGAAGAUAUUCAGGGCCAUUCCACUACCCUAGCCAGAGUGUCUACGAGGGCCCCGCAGCAGCCCCGUAUGCAUCAACUUAUGGUAUCUCGCACGCUCAAAGCCCUUCUGCAAUCUCUCAACAACCCUACCAUCACUCUCAAAGCCCCAGUGCAAUUCCUCAACAACUCUACUCACAGCCAGCGGAGAACAUGAGUGCUGCCGGUUUCCGUGCCAGUGGUUCUUAUGGAAGCCAGACCGGUUACGGGGCAUAUGAUUACGGCUCUGCUGCACCCGUUACUUACCAACCUUCAUCCUACACUCAAUAAGAUGGGAGAAACCUAGCCAGAUGUUAAGAUGAAGACAAAGAUCUGGUGCUCGAUUGAUGUUCAAUUUUAUCAAAUUAUGUUUAAAUUAAGUUGAUUUAAAGCAAUUAGGCCUUAAGGAAUCAAAUUUGAUUAUGAAACAAAUAUGGGAGACUGAAAUUAAUGGGUAUAGUUAAAAAGACACAGUAGCUGUGGCAGCGUAUGCAAUCUUUUCUAGCGGCCAACUCACCCUUCCAUGGUAGCGAUCGAUGCAUCUUAGAAUUCUUUUUCUGCAAUGGUAACACAUGUGUCGCCUAAUUUUUGGUUAUUUUUAUUUUAAUUAUUUUAUUUACCGAAAAGGAUAAAAUGAUGAUAAAAAAAAUAAUAAUGAUGAAAAACAAGUAAAAUAAAGAAUAAAUUAAAAUUUAGGUUAAGGACAACAUGAUGGAAAGUUUUGGGGUUUAAUUAAACUUUGGAAUUAAUCUAAUUAAUCCAAUCAAGGGCUUAAUUGGAGAAUUGAUAAGUUUUAAGACUUAAUUGAGCUUGAAAUUAAUUUAAUUAAUCCAAUCAAUGUUUUAAUUGGAGAAUUGAUAAGUUUUUGGACUUAAUUGAGCUUGGAAUUAAUUUAAUGAAUGAAAUCAAGGACGUAAUUGAAGAAAUAUCAAAGUUUGGGGUUAAUUGGGGUACAAUUUGCAAGAAAUGAAAACGCAAGGACCAAUGUGUAAAUUGCAAUGAGAUGCAGGGGUUCAAUUAAAAUUUACCCAACGACUGGACUGCUAAAAUUCAAAAUGACAAGGAUCAAAAUGCAAUUAGCCAUGUCCAUCAACACUAUUCAUCUUUUCCUUCACUCGCCCGAACAAAAACGGAUGCAUCGCCAUUACUCCUGCAAUAACAGUCAAUUUAUUACCUGGUAACGGUGGCAUUCUGUGGCUAUAAAGCCAGAGAGAACAAAGGGGCUAGAGAAGGGGGAACCGAAAAGCCACUGGUGAUCAUAGAACCGAAAAGCCACUGGUGAUCAUAGAACCGUGAGCAGCAGUGGAAGAUCUUCAUCCCCAGCAGCUUCCUCCAUUUCAAGCAGCUCCUCGCCACGGUUAGUCUCCACCCCAACACCAGAUACUCCAAGAUCAGCCACCGUGGGUAGUGUUGCCACCAAUCACCUCACACAGCAUCGUGAACUCCAACAGCAAGGCAACUGUCAGCAGCCUUGCAACAACCAGCAUCUCCCUUCUGCACCGUGAGCUUCAAUCACUCCACCAGCAUCACUAGUUCCAUCGUGACUAGCAUCACCAGCAGCUUAUCUCAGCAAAUCAGUAGCUCAUCACGGUGGCGACUGAUUUUUGAAGAGAGGCUGAAGCGUUCCUCAGCAACUCUUCUAGACAGGGAGGAGAAGAACCCCCAUCUCUUUUGUUCAGACCUCCAUCACCAUCAACCAUCGCCUUUCAUCUUCCAACAAAUAGCGUAAGCAGCAGCACAGGAAGGGAGGACUAGAGAAGACGCAGAACAACAGAAACAGAGGGGGAAACAGUAGCAGUCGGGCAAGCCUCCGUCACCAUCGACAUCGUCUUCGCCUUCACCUCGCAGCUGCGCCACCCCAGCAGCUCUUCCUCACCGUGACAUCCAGCAGUCUUCCCUUGAAGCAGCCGUCUCCCUCAGCCUUGCCAGGUAAGUUCUUCAGCUUUCCUUCUUUUGGUAAAUUAAUUACCUGUUACUGUUGCAUGCAUGCGUGAGUGAUUCACGCAUGCAUGCAACAGUGGCAGCCGGGUCACUGGUUUGGACCAGUGACCCGAACUUUUUUUUUUUUUUUUACCAUGCAACAUCAAUAAACAGAAAAAUAAAAAAAAUAGAAAAAAUAAAAAAUGUGUAUGCAUGAAUAAAAAUAAUGUAAAUUUAUUGGUUUAUUCACUGAAACCAGAGUCAGGAAUAAAAAUACCGGUUUAAAUAUAUAUUAUUUUUAUUCGUUGUAUUUUUAUUUUAUUUAGCUAGAAAAAUAACAAAUAUGUGCAUGAAUAAAAAUAAAUUUAUUUUUAUUUAUUUAUUCACUGGCACUAAAAUAGGGAAUAAAAAAAUAUUGAUUUUUUUUUUCAUAGCUAUGAAUUUUUACCAACGCCAGAGUUGGAAUUAUUCGAGCUCGAAUAUUCACUGGCGUCAGAGUCAGGAAUAUUAUAAAACAAAUCAUCAUAGCAUAAACUAAUAAAUAUUUAGCAAUUUAAGACAUAAACCAGCAAUGCAGUCUGUCUUAGGCAGAACGUUUAAAGGGUGAUAAUAUCUUCCCUUUUAAGUAACUAAUCCCGAGCCAUAGAAUCUCUGUUGACCAGUUAGGGUUCCUAGUAACCAUAAUACUAGGUGACGACUCCUUAAACAAGAUAUUUUCUUUAAAAGAACCGGAUGCCAGAAAUCUGUUCUUUUUCCAUAAUUCAAGAGAAUUAUUUUGAGGGCCGAUGCGAUGUCGGGUGCGACAACAUGUAUUCUUAUUCUUAGUGUUGUGUUGUUGGUGUUAUUUAUUUUAUUUUUUUCCAUAUUUUCCCUCUUUUCUCUUUAAAAUUCAUGAUAGCCAUUUCAAAGUUCAUAGUUGUCUCCUUAUUUUAGUAUUAUUUCAAAUGCAAUCCUUUUUUUAUUACUAAGUUUUUGUUCUAGAUCUUUUUCUAAAAUGUAAAAUUAUUUUCAAUUUUAUCAUUCAAUAAAAAAUUAUAAGUUGUCCUUUCAAUUCAUUUUUAAAAUUUGGUCCAUAUUUUUUUAAUUCCUAUUUUUAGUUUUUGAUCCUAUAGUGAAAUUAAAUUUUCCUUCCAUUUUCAUCAUCUAAUUUGUUUUUAUUUCUAAUUCUAUUCUUAUUCUUUUGGUUUUUUUUUAGAGCCUUUUGUAAAAUUAAAUUUUUUAAAUUAAUUUUUCAGCAUGAGGUUAUUUAAGAAUUGGAUUCCAUGUGUUUUUAUUGAUGGGAUGAUUCAUGACAUGGACCAAGUCAUAUAUUUAAAAAAUUGACCCGGGUUAACAUUGUUCUUUUAUUUAUUGAGUUUUAUUUUUUUUAUACACGUUUUAUUUUUUAUUUUCAUCCUUUAAUUUUUUUUUAAUUGAGCUUUAUGAUUUUUUUUUUAAUUUUCUUUCAAUCAUGUUAUCCUUAUUCAUCUCAGAAACUGAAAAAAAAAAAAAUAAAUGAAACCUAAUUAUUUUUCGUGGCCUUGAUCUCUUUUUCUUUGUCUUUCUAGGGUGCUGUAAUCACCAUCAACAAAGUGGCCUUUUAAGGAAGAAGUGGCUCAAAUUGUUUCUAUAGUUGGGUUACAUUUUAAUAUAGUCAUGUAUUUGAAAAAGUAUUUAGUUAAUUAAUAUUUAUUACAUAUAUAUAUAUAUACACACACAUUACUAAAAAUUAUUUUAAAAUUUUAAUUAAAAUAUAAUAUAAUUUAUAAAUCCCAACUUUCGCAAGAAUAGUAAUCAUGAGUCCUGACAUGUCCUCUUCCUUGUUGAAUUCUACGGGCUUCGAAUGUCAUGUUCAUGCCGAUUUACUAGGGUAUUUCUUUAUGCAUGCAUGCAAAAUAAUAUAAUAAUUAAUUAUUAGUUGAUAGAGGCUGAUAAAUAAAUAAAAAUAUAUAGUUUAUUGAGUUUCCAAAACAAAAUAAUCGCAUCAUGCAUGUGGUCUUCAACCAAAUCUACUACUGUUUGCAAAAAUAGUGUUCAUGUAGAUUAAUAAGGCCAUGUUUGUUUCUCGGAAAGUAGUUUUUAGAAAAUUAUUUUCCAAACUUUCUUGUGUUUGUUUGUCAUUAGAAAAGUUGGUCAACGGAAAACACUUUCCAGUAAAAAAAAAAUUUUAACUUGGUUUUCAGGAAAGUAUUUUCCUUUUAGAUGUGCUUGUUUUCUGGAAAGUGGUUUCCGAGAAAUUACUUUCCAAACUUUCUUGUGUUUGUUUGCCAGUAGAAAAGUUGGUCAAUGAAAAAUACUUUCCAGUAAAAGGAAAAUUUGGCUUGGUUUUCAGAAAAGUGUUUUCCUGAAAAAUUUAAGGGGAAAACACUUUCCGGAAGUUGUGAAAAAUUUAGAAAUGUCAUUAUUUUCUGAUUAUAUCAAAUUUGAUCCUCAAACUUUUGAUUGCUAUAUAUAUUUUGUUUUGAAUAUUUAUUUUUCAAUUUCAUCUCUUAAAAUGUUAUUUUUAUAUUAGCGUUGGUCCUUAUUUUUAUAGUUGCUAUUUGCUUUUUCCUUAUUAUUUUUUUAUUGAAAUUUUUUAUUUAUCAAAUUUGAUCCUCAUUCUUUUUAUUGUUACUUAUUUUAUUUGAAAUAAUUUAUGAAAUGUUGAUUAUUAUUAUUUUAAUUUCUUCAUUUUUUUUUUUUAGAUUUGAUCCCUAUUAUUUUGAUUAUUAUUUAUUUUAUUUGAGAUAAUUUAUGAAAUUAUAUUUUUUUUUUCAAUUUCAUUCUCAUUCAACUUUUUAAUUUGUAAGAUUUGUUCCUCAUUAUUUUAAUAAACUUGAGAAAAAUAAAAUAUUAAUAAGUUAUUUUCUAGCUCAUUUUCCAUGACAUAACCAAACACUGGAAAGUGUUUUCCAACUCAUUUUCCAUUACACUACCAAACAUCGGAAAAUACUUUAUCGGAAUUCACUUUCUCCGGAAUUCACUUUUCAAAAGGAAAACUUUCCAGCAAACAAACGGAGCCUAAGUACUAUUUAUUGAAACAAAGUAAUGAUAUUUUGCUUUUCUUGUAAAAGAAUUUGAACAAGUUAUUUAAGAUAGUUUCACAAGUUUCAUUUGUUAUUAUCGGGUCAAAUUAAUAAGUGUUUUUGCAUUUUAAAAUUAUAGUGAAAUAAUUAAAAUAUUCUUAUAUGUAAAAAAUUAUAAAUUGAUGUCCAAGAACUUUUUAGUAUUUUCACAUUAGUUUUUUCGUUAUUAUUAGGUUAGUUGAAGGAAAAUUUGGUAUUUUAAUAAAUAUAAAAUAUUAUUUAAAAACAAAAAACGGCUAGCCUAUGUAAUGCUUGUGCUAGCGUAUGGGUGGUGCUAGCUCCAUUCGGGUGGCAUCUCUCGACGACCGAACACUAGCUUUUGCCAUGUUAUUAAUUGAAAGCAUUGCAAUAUAAUCUUCCUUUAAGAACGGCACGUUGUGUUAUUGGGGUGGUUAUGUGAUGUUGGUGACCUUUUUUUCUUCUCAUCCCACUUUAGUCUUUCCUCCUUUUAAAAAUCAUGUUGGUCAUGUGAAAUUUUAAAGUUGUCCUUUAAUUUAUUGAGAUGUCAAAUUCAUUAUUAUUUUUUUUGAUAUUUUUUUUUUUGUUCUUGGUUAUUUUGUGAAAUUUUUAGUUAUUUUUAAUUUUAUCCUUCAAUCUCAAUUUGUGAUACAUUAUAUUUUUUUCAAUUUAGUCCUUAUUCUUUUGAUAUUUUUAUUUUUUGAGUCCUUUUAUAAAAUUGAAUUUUCUUUUCAAUUUCAUCCUUCAAUUAAAAAUAAAAUUUAUUUUUUAUUUUAAUUUUAAUUUGCAUUCCUUCAAGUACCCUUUUUUUUAAUCUCUCUGUAUAAUUGAUUUUUCUUUUUUUCAUUUUUAAAUUUUAUCAAAAACGCACGCGAUUCGUUGUUGUCAAACUAUCUAGUGCUAAGAAUUCGAAAGUCAAGUACCCUGCAAUAUGAAAGAACUCUGAAAACACACACCAGAGACAUGCAUGUUCUGCUUUAUAUAUAACCAAAGUCGUUACAAGAAAGAAGAGAAAGUGCUUAUCUAUUUGUUACAAGAGAUACAAAUUACAUGAGAUUUAAAUACAAGAUAAAAUGCCCUCCCGUUUGCAAGCUAUCCAGUUUGAACUGGAUGUGAUCCUAUUCUCUACCCAUAAAAAUAAUACUGAAUUUAAAGGGAUUUGCAGUCAGGACAGACAAUAAUGAUUUUCCAGCUGCAAGCAUCAAUCUAUAGGAAAAACCUAAUUGAUAAUAAUAAAAAAAGGCUUGGAAUGUGAUGAUGGUUAGGAAAAAUCCAGUACGUUCGUGCACCGUGAUUGUCAGCAUGAAUGUAAAUGCUAAACCCAUGCAGAAAAGGGAGUAGAAAUUAAAAUAUGUCGCCAUCUCCAUGCAUAUUGUUACAUAAUUGGUACCACCUAAUGAUAUCUGACAAAGGAUUAUAGCGGCGAUGAGGGAGAGAUUCAUAGCUAGCAUGUCGAAAAAAACAUAAGCUCUCAUCAGAUUUUUUGAACUACCACUGCUAAGAUCACGACCUGAUCCAGGCACAGUGAUAGCACCAGCGAAGGUUACUCCAACUACCAGUACUGCCACCACGAGAAGAUUCCCUACCCCUCUGUUCAGUUGCUCCGUCGUUAACGUCGUUCUUGGUAAAUCAAAGAUAGGACUGAUGCAAGGCUCAGGCAUAUCAUCUGCCUCCUCCAAAACUUUAAAUACCUUACGCUGAACAACAAAGUGUUUAUUAGAAAAUAUAUGGUAAACAAAUUAAUUAUAUAAAGCAUCAUGACAAUGCUAGCUUAAUGUCCCAUAAUAACGAAGAAGGAAUUCAUCGCUAUAUAUUUAGUAGAUCAGCGAGGCAUUCCAUAUUUUUGAGCAAGUAAAGAACUUUAUUUCCACUUUGGAUUAAUCAAAUUUAAGGUAAUUGAAAGAAAUCUAUCAUUCCCUUUUCUAUAAAGUUGCAACAUGGACAGAAUGUGGAUGUGAAAGUUUUUGCUAUACUAGAAUGUAUUUACUUCAAUCACCUGAUUAGCUUCUUACGUGGACCAAAGCAACUAGAAUAUAAUUUGACUUGGAUGCGAAUGGUUCUUUAAAUGGCUAACCAAAACCCUCUGGUAUUGAUGAAUAUAACAGAAUUAAAUGUGACUGAGGUUUUGACAAUUAAAAAAUCUUUUUAAAUGAGUAUUGAUUGUUCCUAUGCAAUUACUAGAAGCUGGAUUGUGGAGUAUAAUGCCAUUACUAGAAGCUUAUUGGCUAUAAGAGAUAAUUAAUGAAGUUAUCUUUAUUGGCAUAUGGAAAAAACUAGAGAGUAUUUAUGCUUCCAGACCCAUGACUAAUCGUUUUCUUUUGAAGUGAGAUUUGUACUCUUGAGGAUGGAUGAAGGAAUGUGUAUACACAAGAGUUAAAAGGUUGACAACACAAGUAGUCAAUAUUAGAAAAAAAAUUGAGGAUAAAGAGCGAAACCUCAUUCUACAAGCCAUUGGUGCAAACAAUACUAGUUAAAAGGAAAUAACUUUAGGUUUAAAUGAUGCAGCUACAAUCUUAUUGGAGAAUGAUAGGUUUUGAAGGUAGAAAACAAUGUCAAAAGUUAACGAGGCAUUGGUUAUGGGAGGUGGUCCUGUAAUUUACCAUGAAAGAUGGGAGCAAAGAUGAUGAUGUUAUCAUGGAUCAUAAAUAUUGUAAAAAGGUUUUGAAAAAUUCAUGGAUUGUAGAUUUUGCAUGCUGCUUUCAUAGUUAUUUAAAGAAAUAAUGUUUUGAUACUUACAAAGAAAAUGAUGGAGAUUCUAUGUUGCUAGAAUUGAUAAUGUUAAAAUUAAGAUAUAUAAUGGAGCAAUGAAAACCCUUUGUGAUGCUAGGACUUAGGCACAUGCAAAGACUUACAAGAAAGAAAGUUUGUGAAACUGAAAAUGUUACCAUUUUGAGAACUUCUACUUCCUGCGAUUUGUUCCAUACACCUCUCGCAGCAUCAUCCUCAUGCUUGUUCUGAGCAAGGACAAGCAAAGACAGUAUUAAUUUGUAAGUAUACAUUCGAAACUGAAUUUGAAUGUAUUUUCUUGAAAUCAGUUUUUGUAAUGUUAAAGGUUGUCCUUUUCAUUAUCAUUUUUUGCAAGUAUAUAUAUAUGAUGAUUAAUUUGGAGUAUGAUCCCCCGUGAUGUUCAAGAGCAAUUGCAAGCCCAUUAAUUGACUUUGGUGCAUAAGGUCAGUUUUUCGAAAAGGCUCAGCAUAUAAGCAUACCAUUCCAUCUGACUUUGGUGCUUCAAAGCGUCCGCCUCGCAAUAAUUUCGCAACAACACCAGAUGGUUUCAACUUUUCAUUAUUAACAAUCAUUUUAUCCACCCGCAUGUCACUCACUAGUGCAUGCAUUAUCUUCGAACGGCAAUACAUUGCAGCCAAGUGCAAAGGUGUAUUUCCAUCGUAAUCCUUCUCAUUUAUAAGAGCUUCCAGAUCUCGAUUUCUCAAUAUUUCAUCCACUAUUUUCAUCUGUCCACUCCCCGCUGCAACGUGAAGAAUAUUCUGUCCUUUUUCGUUGAGAAAAUCCAUUGGAUCGAACCAAUAAGUAAGUAGUUCGUGUACUACUUUAAGAUGGCCCUUCUGGCAUGCAACAUGGAUGGGUAAGUUGCCUUCGUCGUUUGUUUGUGAUGCGGCAACAGGACAUCGACUAACCAGGAGUCUUGCUCCAGAAAGGAAGUCCAUUGAUGCUGCAAGAUGAAGGAGAUUUCCCCCUUUUAUGUCCUCGGGAAGCAUUAUAUCCGGCUUGCCGACCGCUAGUUUUUCUAGUGCAGCAUAAUUUAAAAAUUAGAUAAUCAAUACAAAAAUCACAAAAUGCAUGGAAAUUAAUAACUUGAAUUUUAUGCUUUACAUAAAAUGACAUGAUGAAGAAUCAGUUUUAAUGAGACCAAUAAUUAUAAGUGUAACAUGUUAUUUUUCACGUCGAAAUGAUGAUAACAUGUAAUUACCUAAAUUUCCUUCCGGCAUAGCUUCUAUAAAAGAAGCAAGCAUCUCCUCGUCGCAACUCUCUACUGCCAAGUACAAGGGAGACUUGUCUUCCUUGUUCUUGAGGUAGGAAACUUCUAGGUCUUCAUUAACGAGGAAACGGGCCACCUCUCGGCAACCCUUGAUGACUGCAUCGUGCAAAGGGGUGUUUCCUUUAUUAUUCUUCAUCCUCAGCAAGCUAGCAAGUUCAAGUGUUUUAUGAGGAUCGAUUUUCACAUGCUCGACGAGAUUUUUAAUUGUGUCAGACCGUCCAGCCCUGGCAGCCAGAUGAAGAGCAUUAUCACCCAGGAAAUUUUUCCUGGUGAUUAGGAGGGGGAAGUGAUGACACAGUAGCUGUAUCACACCUUCGCUUCCAUGGCUUGCUGCCACAUGAAGCAGUGAAUUUCCAGAGGCAGCAACAUGUUUGAAAAUCAUAUCGAGCACUUCCUCUGAUGAAACAUGUUCCAGUUUAUCGGACAAGAGACCAAACAAGGCAUUGAAGUUGUCUUCCUUUGCAUAGGUAUAAAGCUCCUUCUUCAGUAUUUUAUUUGGCUCAGAAAAACCAUACUCUGCAUUCCGAACUGGGAAUUUAGCUGCCUUCCAUCGUUCAAGCUCCAUUUGUACUGGUCUCGGCAUAUCUAUUUGUAAGUGCUCCAUCUCUUCUUGAGUGACUUAACUUUGCUGCGGUUGUAUCUGUGGUAAUUACAUGUCUUGUUAUUUGGCCAAGCAAACUAAAGAAUUCAUAGAAAACAUGAAUGCAAGAGAUAUGCUAUUUAAAGGAUUGGUGAGAGAAACGUACAUUAGCUACAUAAUUUUUCUCAAUACAAUUAUUUAGGAGCAUAUAUAUAAAUGUUUAAAUUCAAGUCAAAAUCAAGCUGCUAAAACAUUAGUGUAUUUAAAAAUGUGGUUGCAGUUAUUUUUUAAAAUAUUUUUUAUUUAAAAAUAUAUUAAUUUUAAUAUCAGCAUAUCAAAUGAUCUAAAAAAAUAAAAAAUAUAUAUUAAUUUAAAGUUAAAAAAAAUUUAAAAAUCAAUUUUUUCUAAAAUAUUUUUAAAAUAAAAAACAAUUAGUAUCAAAGUCAAGUUAAUGCCAUUUUUUUAUAUCCAAGUCCAAGAAUAACUAUGGGUUUGUGUAUUGUAUUUAUAAAUAAAAUAAUAUUUUAUGACUUUUAAUAUAUUUUCUAACAGUAUUAUAUAAACAAAUAAAUUAUAUGCAUAAAUAUAUCAAAUUGAUAUAAAUUUGAUUAGCGCAAAUAACUGAUGCCAGUUUGUUAAGAAUCUUAAAAAAUAAUUCUCAUAAUAUAAAGGAGGUUUAGCCAAUUACCUAUGCCACAGGCACGCACGCUGGUCGACUAGUUACUGUCUUCCUCUGCCUUCACCUCUGUUCUUGCUUUUCUCUGAUCGGUUACUCCCCUGGUCGUCCUCCUCUUUGCCCAGGGAUCAGUGUUAUAAACUGUGAAUGUUUUUGUCUGUAUCGCGAAUUACUGUAGAAAUGUUUUUCUCGUGUAUUGUACUGUUUUGGGUUUGACAAUUGCUAAAAGCACUGUAGUUAGGGAGACAUAAU